GCCACCACGGCAUAGUGGUUUGAGCAUCAGACUACAAUCCUGGAGACCAGAGUUCGAUUCUCUGCUCAGCCA